rnacentral:rRNA from 1 species
AUGCAACUGUGGUGCCAAGACUUGACUCAUGUGCUUCCUUGCCUGCUUUUGCUCCUGCCAUUGCCGUGCUGUCUUAGGUGUGCGGGAGAGAUGUCGGGGUUGCUUGGCACGGUUGUUGAUGCGGCAAUAGGAUGGCUGGUGGAAAGCAUCCUUGGGAACUUCUUCACUGGACAUAUGGAAUCCUGGAUUCGUGAAAUUGGGCUUGCCGAAGAUGUGGAGAAGCUUAAAUUUCAGAUGAGGUACGUGCAGAUGGUUCUUGCUGCUGCCAAGGGAAGGAGGAUUGACAAUAUGCCUCUGGCCCAGUCACUGGAUGAUCUCAGAGAGCUGCUUUAUGACUCAGAGGACGUGAUGGAUGAGCUCGACUACUACCGACUCCAGCAACAGAUUGAAGAAGGGAAAGGUUGUACUGCUCCUACUGGUACUAAUCCUGAUGGAAGCUAUGUGUCCUCAUCCACUCUAUCUUCUGUUGUUAAAUUAGUACUCAGCGCCACAAGCCAAAUAACUGUUUGGAUCUCACGCGGUAGAAAAAGGAAACGUGAAGAGGAAGGACCAGCUCAUUGUAACAUACUGCCUUUUGAGAUUAAAGAUAACAUUUCUAAGAGGAUCAAUGUAAUAGUGAAUCUUCUACACAGUAAUGGCAAUUCUGUGCAGGGGGCUCUUCAGCUUGAGAUCUUGCGCCCCAUGGCAGCAUCAAGUAAGAGUCAGAAUAUUACCAGAAAUGCUCACAUGACAACUUCUCAUUCAAUUGAACGUCAGGUGUAUGGGAGGGAUGCAGAAAGAGAUGAGAUAAUAGAUCUAUUGAUAAAGGGGGGAUCUAGUGAUCUGAAUGUUUUACCAGUGGUUGGCAUUGGUGGUAUUGGGAAGACGACGCUGGCUAGAUAUGUAUACCAUGAUGAAAGAAUUAUAAAUCAUUUCGAUUUGAAAAUGUGGAUUUGUGUAUCCACAAACUUCAGUGAAAGGAGAUUGACAAUUGAGAUCUUAGAGCAUGUCUGUAAAGAUAGACAAGAGUACGAAAAUGUAAGCAAUUUCAAUGUACUACAGGACAUCCUUUUGAAGUACAUCAGAAAGAAAAGAUUUCUGCUCGUAUUGGAUGACAUGUGGGAAGACAAGGACAAGAUUGGAUGGAUUAAACUCUUGGCUCCAUUAAAAGGUAAUAAAGUAAGUGGUUGCAUGAUACUAGCAACAACCAGAAUGAAAUCAGUUGCAGAAAUGAUACAAACGAUGGAUGAAGUCAGAAUGAGUGGCCUCAAUGAAAAGGAAUUUUGGCUGUUAUUCAAGGCAUGUGCAUUUGGUAAUGAGAACUAUGAGGGUGAUCCUUAUUUGCAGUCUAUUGGCAAACAGAUUGCUAAAGCACUAAAGGGCUGCCCACUUGCUGCACAAAGUGUCGGCGCACUUUUGAACAUAAGUGUUAGCGAUAAGCAUUGGAGGACAGUUCGGGACAAAUGGAGAUCUCUUCAAGAAGAUGCUGAUGAUAUUUUACCUGUCUUGAAGCUCAGUUAUGAUUAUCUACCUGUCUACCUUCAACAUUGUUUCUCGUAUUGCUCUCUAUUUCCAGAGGACAAACAAUUUGAUGGGAAAGAAUUGGUCCAUGCUUGGAUAUCACAGAAUUUUGUGCGGUGUGAAGACCCUACCAUGAAAUUGGAGGAAACAGGGCAGCGAUAUUUGGAUAGAUUAGUUGAUUUGUGCUUCUUCCAAAAGGUUGGCUCAAAGUAUGUUUUGCAUGAUCUAAUGCAUGAAUUGGCAGGGAAAGUUUCAUCAAAUGAGUGUGCAACUGUACAUGGAUUGAAACAUGAGGAAAUUCGAUCAAGUGUUCGCCAUUUGUCAAUCAUUACUACUGCUUUUGAUAAAGAUAAACUUGACAGUUUUCCUAUUGAGAAGUUUGAUAAAAUACUUCAGAAGGUUGGACCUUCACAUAAAUUGAGGACUUUGAUGUUGUUUGGGCGAAGCAGCAUAAAUUUAUUAAGGUCCUUGCAUACUUUAUGCAGGGAGGCAAAAUGUUUGAGGUUCCUAAGAAUUUAUGUGACAGAUGCUGACAUCAGCUCUAUACUCAGUUUGUUAAAUCCAUACCAUCUUCGCUAUGUUAAAUAUAUUCAUGUUGUCAUUACAGACAGAUCAUUGUAUAGAGUCUACGACAACAAUGUGUUUCCUCAAGCAUUGACAAGAUUUUAUCACCUUCAAGUAUUGAAUGCUGGUAUUUCAGGCAAUUUUCCUGUGCCUACUGAUAUGCAUAAUCUUGUUAAUUUGCGCCAUCUUAUUUCUCAUGAGAAAGUGCAUCAGGCAAUAGCUUGUGUUGGCAAUAUGACCUCUCUUCAGGAACUAAGUUUCAAGGUUCAAAAUGGUGGUAGUUUUGAGAUAAGACAACUUCAGUCCCUGAAUGAGCUUGUAGUACUUCAAAUUUCUCAACUUGAAAAUGUGAAUACUAAAGAAGAGGCCAGUGCGGCCAGCCUGUUAGACAAAGAGUAUCUAGAAGCAUUGUCCUUGUCAUGGGAGGAUAACAGUACGAGCCUUCAACCAGAGGCAGCAAAGGAUGUGCUUGAAGGUCUUCAACCACAUCAGGAUCUCAAAACUCUAGAAAUAACUGGGUACGGUGGUGCUACCUCCCCAACCUGGCUUUCUAAUACUUCCUCACUCAUCUUACUGCGGACACUUCAUCUAGAGAAGUGCAGGGAAUGGCAAAUUCUUCCAACUCCUGAAAUGCUUCCUUUCCUUAGGAAGUUAACGUUGAUCAGGAUGUUUAAUUUAUUGGAAAUCUCAGUUCCUUCCUUGGAAGAGUUGAUCUUGAUCGAUAUGCCAAAAUUGGAAAAAUGUACCGGUUCUUAUGGAAUGGAAUUGACCUACAAUUUAAGGGUUUUGAUGAUCAAGAACUGCCCUCAGCUGAAUGAGCUCACUCUUUUCCAGAGUUACUCUUCUUUCGACGCUGAGCAGAAAUCAUGGUUUCCAUCUCUCAGGAAACUCUCCAUCGGGCAGUGUCCUCAUAUAUUGAACAACUGGUCACUCCUUCCACUAGGGGAAAUGGGGGCGCUCAAGGAGUUGGAGUUGAUGGACCUGCAUGUCGUGAGAGAAUUGGCAGUUCCUUCUCUGGAGAAGUUGGUGUUGAUUAAAAUGCCAAGCCUGGAAGUUUGCAGCAGUCUAACAACUUCUCCACCUCUGCAACUCUUACCUUCCCAAGGAGAUCAAAAGGGAUGGCUAUUGAGUCUCCUUGGACUCACCAUCCAUGAGUGUCCUUCUUUGAUAGUGUCGCACCCUCUUCCGCCUUCUGCUCUAGUUUCUGAGUUUUCCAUGAGGGGUGUUUCGACACUUCCAACAAUGAGGAUAAAGUACGGAUGGUUCAAAAUCGAAUCUAAUGUAUUGAGUGUGCUAGAUAACAGUAUCUUGGCAUUCCAUAAUCUUCGGGGCAUAAGACGGUUGCGCAUAGAAAACUGUCCAAACCUGGUCUCUCUUUCAAGUGAAGCUUUCAGGCAGCUCACCGCUUUGGAGCACUUAGUUAUAAAGGACUGCCCUAAUCUGACUAUGUCAAACAUUAUGCCAGAGGUUGUCCAGGAAAACAGCACGUCUGCAAGCAGCCUUGUCCCCCCAUCUCUCAGAUCUGUCAACAUUAGCACAUGUGGCGUUACUGGGAGGUGGCUAUCUCAACUGCUUUCACAUUUGCAGUCCCUUGAGGAGUUGCUGUUAACUGACUGUCCGCAGGUGAAGUUUCUAUCUAUCAGUCAACCUACAGAAACGGAAGGAACCAGCAGUUUAGCUUCAGCAGUGAUGACCUCGGCCCAAGAUGAACAUGAAUUGAAACUGCCAUAUAAUCUCCUAUGUUCUCUCAAGGUGCUAUGGAUUCAGCAAAGCCUGGAUCUGGAGUCCUGUGGAGGUAGUAGAGACUUCACAGGAUUCACCUCUCUUACGGAGGUGGCUAACACAAAUGCUUUCACAUUCGCAAUCCCUUGA